GACGAACGCUGGCGGCGUGCCUAAUACAUGCAAGUAGAACGCACAGUUUAUACCGUAGCUUGCUACACCAUAAACUGUGAGUUGCGAACGGGUGAGUAACGCGUAGGUAACCUGCCUGGUAGCGGGGGAUAACUAUUGGAAACGAUAGCUAAUACCGCAUAAUAUUAAUUAUUGCAUGAUAAUUGAUUGAAAGAUGCAAUUGCAUCACUACCAGAUGGACCUGCGUUGUAUUAGCUAGUAGGUGAGGUAACGGCUCACCUAGGCGACGAUACAUAGCCGACCUGAGAGGGUGGUCAGCCACACUGGGACUGAGACACGGCCCAGACUCCUACGGGAGGCAGCAGUAGGGAAUCUUCGGCAAUGGACGAAAGUCUGACCGAGCAACGCCGCGUGAGUGAAGAAGGUUUUCGGAUCGUAAAGCUCUGUUGUAAGAGAAGAACGGGUGUGAGAGUGGAAAGUUCACACUGUGACGGUAUCUUACCAGAAAGGGACGGCUAACUACGUG
rnacentral:rRNA from 1 species